UCGCAUUUUCCAUAUUAUCAACACAGAAUAUUCAAAAGAUGUUCUGUGUUAUUAAAUAGAUUUAAUCUAUGUCACUAGUCAGUCACAGAAGUUGUAAAUUGUUGAAAUUCGUGUGAACCGUAUUCUGUAUUUCUGUAGUACCUGCCUAGAGUUUUUAUUUAAAAUUUGUCAAUUUGUCCAUUUUUGAAUGAUGGAAAACUUUAAAAGGAAGCUUGAACGCAAUUUUGAGUACUCCGAGAAGUCAGUCCCUUUGGAUAUUGUUACUGUACACUUCAGUGUUACUGAAUCAUCUGAAUCAAAGAAUAUUGAUGGAACGACUGUAAAAAAAAAAAACACCAAGUGGCUAAUAAUUGCUAACUAUUCAUCGUAAAAUCAAUAAUGCGGCUUGAAAAUGCUGUUGGAAAAUCUCUAAACUUGGCCAGUUGGAAAUUUCGGCAACUGCUAUGCAAACAAAUAAUGACGAUACUACAGAUACUAAUGCGUUUGAAGAAUGUAUUGUGUAUGAAGUUGUGAUUAUUCGUAAGACUAUUGAAAAAAAUGAUAUUUUAUUACAAAAUAAUGAUUGAUUUGAAUACAACCCUACAAUGAUGAAGAUUUAAACGUCUGAUGUUCCUCGCCAACCUCCUUUGCCAUUACCCUUCAUUUUAGUUCUUCGACAUGAUACUAAUAUGCCAGAAAACAUUUAAUCCACUGCUGCAUCAAUUCCUACCAAUAAGGUCUGAGAAGGUUUAUCAAGAAAUACUUUUGGAACAGCAUUGGGUUUGAGUUUCAAAUUCUAUCUACAUCCCAGUGUGUCAACAUUAUACAAAGUUAAAAUAUGAGCAUUGCAUAUUGAACUAGAAUAUUCUAGUCAAUUGAUAGCUGAAAACCAUUGUUGAAUACAAGAAUCAUUUUUCAAAGGAAACCUAAAAUAAAAUUACAUACUAUUGGAUUAAAUUAUAA